UGAACAUGAUUUUCCAUGAGCAACAGCUCUGUCUCUCAUGGCUAAAUCUCCCUCCCUGCCUAUAUGCACUCCCUCAUGCUGGUGACUAUCAGGUGGUGUAAGCAGGUUACAGUAGCAACAGCUAAUAGCUCUGGAAAUCUCUGGAAUUGCUGUCAGGAAGAGAAAGCUGGGGCUUCUCCCUCUGUCUCUACCUGGCAUGGUACAGUGGAGAAAUGAUGGUUCUUACACUAACUCUGCUUCCAAAAAUAUCAUCCCUGUGGUUGUUAUCACACCAGAAACCAUCCGUCUUGCUGCUGGUUCAUACCCCAGCAGUACCCUGGGGGCUGCUGCAGUGGAGUACGGCUCUGCUGGGCCAGGCACUGUGUGAAGAGCAUGAAAAGAGACCUGCUGCCCUAAGGAGCUGGCUGGAUAUCCCUGGGUAUGGUCAGGUCUUGCCCAAAAGCACUGAAGCUUUGUUCUCCUAGAGGCUGCACAAAGACCCGAAAUAACUGGGCUCUGUAUAAAUAGCUCUUUUAAUUCAA